rnacentral:rRNA from 1 species
CGACGGGUGAGUAACACGUGAGCAACCUGCCUUCGAGAGGGGAAUAACGGCUGGAAACGGUCGCUAAUACCGCAUAACAUACCGGGAGGACAUCCUGCUGGUAUCAAAGAUUUUAUCGCUCGAAGAUGGGCUCGCGUCCGAUUAGGUAGUUGGUGAGGUAACGGCUCACCAAGCCGACGAUCGGUAGCCGGACUGAGAGGUUGAACGGCCACAUUGGGACUGAGACACGGCCCAGACUCCUACGGGAGGCAGCAG